rnacentral:rRNA from 1 species
GUCGAGGGGUAUGCUUCUUCGGAAGCAGAGACCGGCGCACGGGUGCGUAACGCGUAUGCAAUCUACCUUUCACAGAGGGAUAGCCCAGAGAAAUUUGGAUUAAUACCUCAUAGUGUUAUAGAGUGGCAUCACUUUAUAAUUAAAGUCACAACGGUGAAAGAUGAGCAUGCGUCCCAUUAGCUAGUUGGCAAGGUAACGGCUUACCAAGGCAACGAUGGGUAGGGGUCCUGAGAGGGAGAUCCCCCACACUGGUACUGAGACACGGACCAGACUCCUACGGGAGGCAGCAGUGAGGAAUAUUGGUCAAUGGACGCAAGUCUGAACCAGCCAUGCCGCGUGCAGGAUGACGGUCCUAUGGAUUGUAAACUGCUUUUGUACGAGAAGAAACACUCCUUCGUGGAGGAGCUUGACGGUAUCGUAAGAAUAAGGAUCGGCUAACUCCGUGCCAGCA